GGGCACAGUAUUGGUGGUGGUACCAGACUACCAGAGUAAUAAGGACAUGCAGACAACGGUAGGUUUUGAAAUGAAGUUAUUGCAUACAUACUACAUCAUCCAUCAUACACAUCAUGCAUGCAUAUAUUCAUAAUGCACGAGACACUGACAUAUCGAUCGGCUAAAAUAUUAUUGUCCUUUUAUAGGGUUAUAACUACAUAUUUUUAUUUUUAUAUAAUUAUAUGAUCGUACUAGAUCAAGUUAAAGAAAUUCAUUAAUUAUAAUCAUACGAUUGUACUAAAUCAAGAGAAUCUGAAAACAUUUCUGUUACAAAUUUCUGCCCAUGUCUAAUCAGUUUUGUAAAUUAGAUUUUUCUAUUAAUUGAUAACACGUGCAGUUUUUCAUGAUCUAAUUACAUUGAUGCUUACUUGAAGCUAGGUUGAGUUUGAUCAGUCACCUAAUUUUAAUUUUUUUUUAUCGGACUAAUUUCACAAUUUUGGUUGUAAUAUUAUGAAUUAUUACGAUUUUCUGUGUUGUUGGGUCUGUUGAUGACAUAAAGGUGAUAUAAGAUUCUUUUGGAAGGUGGAUGUAUGUAUUGAUAUAUAUUAAUUAGAGUCCGUCUAGGGUUUUAAUAUUCAUACGGAGUAAUUCUUAUUGUCGACUCUAAUGUGAGUUUUAUUACUUUUGUAUCGUUUGCUGAGUUAUAAAACUGGUUGGUUAUUUGAUAAAAAAAAUAUAUAAAUAAUAUUUACACAUCUUAUUUCCUCAUUUUCCCGGUAUUUUUUUUCUUGGCCGAAAUAUUUGACGCAUGUCCUUCAUCUUACCCACUCAUUAACAGUGUCUAUACCUUUUCUUUUUCUUUUUCGAUAAAUUUUACUACAUUUUCACUAAAAACUUGCAUAAGAGCGAUAAGACAAUUCGAGUAAGUAAAGAAGCCGGCCAGAUCAAUAAGAACAACAAGAUAUGAAUCAUAUAAAUCCAUGUAAAGUCUAUCUCUCGAACAGAAAACAAAAGAGUCAUAUGUGAAGUCAAAAACUUUUUGUUUCCACCAACAAGAGUACACAUGCAGAUGUUUUUUCUUUCAUGACCUACAGGGCCACCAACGUUAUUUUCUAAUUAAACCUGAUUAAUCUGAACAUUUUAAAGUACUAUGUAGUACCCGACGCCUAUAUUUAUAUGAACCAAUAAUUUUGACAUGAUGCACAAGAGAGAUACUAUGUCGAUUUCAGUGAGUAGCGAUAUGUCGAAUUUUGGUUUGGUGUAUUUGUUAUGAUUUUGUGUAGAUGACAAUAAGAGUUAGAAUUGUAAUACACGGUUUAUGUUUGAAAUUGAAUUUAGUAGUAAUGUCAAGAAAAGUCCAGGAAUCCAGGAUCAAUGACCUACUCAAUUUGAUCUAAAAGUCAUGAGAUCGAUCGACAUGCUUGAAUGAAAGAUUGUAACUACAUGCAUGGGGUUGCAAAGGAAACAUGGAUUGAAACAGAUCGAUGCUACUUUACGAGUAAUUGGACGCAAUUAUUGAACACUACACAUGCUACCAAAAUUUAAAAAAUUCUAAAUACUGUUUAAGUAUUGAACACUAUACAGGCCACUAAGAUUUAGUUUUUAAGCGGCGGAAAUUCUCAGUCGGCUAAGCAGACGAUAAAAUAGAUGAGCUACCUAAACGACAUAUAUAACAUUCCGUCGCCUAAGAGCUCUCUUCUAGUAGUGACAUAAGGUGUAUAAAUAUCUAGAUAUCUAUAAAUUUUGUUUAGAAGAUAUCUAGAGAUAUCUAGCUAGGUUAGAUAUGAAUAUUGUAUGAUCUCUGAAAACUUAUUCGGUAUCUGGAAUAUAAUGUGCGGGUGGGGUUUUGUUUAACAUACUCAAAUGUGCGAUCUUAAUUAGUUGACACAGAACUUAAAACGGUUCUUUUGGUAUAUAUGUGAGUGCUUAAUUAGUGAGCGAGUUUAAUUAGGGUUUAAUCAUUCCUCUACUUUUGGCAUCCUGUUCCAUUUCAGAGUACGUGCCUCUCUCGCUGUUCUAGUACCCUGUACAAAUUGAAACACAGCGAAUUAGAAAAGGCAGCAAAUGAUCGAGAAAAGGCGGCAAUUUGAAGUGGCCGGGACGUUCUUUUCUUUUAAUCCAACUUUGCAGAACUCCCACUCAGACAUGAACUUUACUUAAAGGUUAAUUAUUUGCAUGCAAAUCGAAUCAAAUAUGUCUGGGGACGUAAUCAAAAACCAACGUAAACAGAAUGAAAAGGAGAAAAAGAGGAUAGAAAGAAGAUGAGAAUCAAGGCCCCCCAUUUGUUUCGUUUAUGGCAUGCAUUGACAUAUGACUUGACAUGACAUGAAGGACUUGCUUAGCUAAAGGUUCAUAUAUAAACUAGUGCUAUUGUAUGUUCAAUUACUUGUCGCUUUUAGAUUCAAAAAUCCAAAUUGUGGAAAUCAAUUUUGGCUAGGUCACCAGGUGUUGAUAGUUGUACAUAGAGUAUGAUCGAGGAUGUUGAUUUUGCCUUUGCUAACUAUAUCAAUGUAGCAAGGUUCACAACACGUAGGGUAGUGAGUCAUUUGUUCAUAUAUUUGAGCAUAUUUCAGCAUCAUUAAUUAGCUAUAGCUCGGGUAGUAGGUGCCUCCAAACAAUAUGUCAUAUCACCUUUAAUUCAAAUUUUUGAGAUUUGCUUUGUUGAAUGAGUUUGUUGUAUUAUGAAAAUAAUAUCUAAGUCAUGGACGUAGGUAAUGUAUCGAUUUCUUGUUUAUUAGCUGUUUAUUUUGUAACCAAAUGAGGUCGGCGCAAUAUAACUAAAAUUUUGACUCGUUUGUUCUUUAUAUCAUUUUAUUAAAAUUUGGUUGAUAUGCAAUCUAACUUGAACUUUGAUAUGAUUUAACACAUAUUAGAACUAAUAUUUGGCUAUAGCAUGCAUUAUACAAGAGAAACAGGCACACAAAAUCCAUAAUUAAUUUCACAAACAUUCUGUAUCUUCUUCUAUGUAUAGUAACACUUGGUUUUUCUUUCUUUAUAGAAGGAAGGUAUAUUAUAUGCAGGAAAAGCAAAAACAGUGUUCGACUCUCCAAUCCUUUCAUACAUAAAGCGGUUGAUACUCUCAACUAGAGACUGCCCCAAAUGAUAUGUGUCAGGAACAAGGUCUAUGACUCAUUAUGCAAUGAGCGAGCUAUAUGAUUCAUGGAAGAUAGGGCACAGAAGAAGGAACGUACUUGCUUAAAUUUGUCAUUUUGUGUGAAAUGAAAUUGAAGAUUGAGCAUUGUUAGUUCGGGUCACUCGUUUAAGAAAUCAGCUUGUUAGUAAACUAAUCCUCCAACAAGUACGUACUACUCGAAGUAGAUAGAGGUAGAAAGGAGAAAUGAACAAGACAAGAUAACAAGCUUCGAUCUGUCGGAGAGUUUCACCAUGUACGUCUGUAAAAGAAAUACACAAGUACAAGAUUAUCGCUUAAGUUUAUGUCCCAAGUUCUUGUAUUCAAAAGAAUACCCUUUGUACACCCUCUUUCAACCUCAUACUCUAACCCAAAAACUAUUCACACUCUUGAAUACAUACAACUCAUUCAUGUCUAAUGCAUGCACUUAAUGAUGCCUCAAUAUUACAUGCAUACAUGCA
rnacentral:lncRNA from 1 species